GGCAGAAUGUUGUAGUGGUGUGAGUGCUGGACUAAGACUCAAAGAGGCCAGGGUUCAAAUCCUUGCUUAGCCA